AGAUUGAACGCUGGCGGCAUGCCUUACACAUGCAAGUCGAACGGCAGCACGGGGGCAACCCUGGUGGCGAGUGGCGAACGGGUGAGUAAUGCAUCGGAACGUGCCCAGUAGUGGGGGAUAACUAGUCGAAAGAUUAGCUAAUACCGCAUACGACCUAUGGGUGAAAGCGGGGGAUUCGCAAGAACCUCGCGCUAUCGGAGCGGCCGAUGUCUGAUUAGCUAGUUGGCGGGUAAAAGCCACCAAGGCUUCGAUCAGUAGCUGGUCUGAGAGGACGACCAGCCACACUGGGACUGAGACACGGCCCAGACUCCUACGGGAGGCAGCAGUGGGGAAUUUUGGACAAUGGGCGCAAGCCUGAUCCAGCCAUGCCGCGUGCGGGAAGAAGGCCUUCGGUGUAAACCGCUUUUUGGCAGGAACGAAACGGCGCGAGCAAAUAUCUCGCGUUAAUGACGGUACUGCAGAAUAAGCACGGCUAACUACGUGCCAGCAGACCG
rnacentral:rRNA from 1 species